UUGGCGUGGGUCUGGUCUUGCGUGUGGCUGGAGUGUUAGAAGGACAAUUGCGGGGGAGUGCGCUCCUCAUGCGGGUUGUAGGCCCGUCCCGUGGGCGCGUGCUUGGGAGUAGCUAACCCGCAAGCGGAGUGGCUCGCUGCUGUUACUUGGCCCCAGGUUGGCACUGCGGGUCCGUCCCGGGUCCCUGGGGACUAAGACGGUUGGUUGCUGGGGGCUUCCGCUGAGGGCUCCGGCUCCGACUCCGGCUCCGGCUUCCGCUGCAUCCGGUCCACCACUUCGUCGACGAACCAGCUUACCGCCCUGGUGUGGGAGGGGCCGUCCUCGCUGGUUCUGAAGUGAACUUCUCUGUAGUUCUAAAGUGAACUUAUAAACCCAUCACUCCACUACUAAUCCCUCUCUUUUUUAUUUUUUUAGUUCUGAAGUGAACUUCUCUGUAGCUCUCAGCUGAACCUCUUCUCAGUUCUCAAGUGAACUUCCUUUUUUUUUUCAAUCAGGCACACCUCUUGGGUUAGAGGAGGAUAGUUCUUAGUUCUCAAGUGAACGUCACUAUUUUUUACACCAGCAAAAUGAUGCGUGUGACUAAAUGAAACUUCUUUUUAUUCUUUUCAUAGGUCUUGUUUCCUUACUUCAAGUCAUCCCACUACAGGAUUUACGGGCUUAACAGGAUUACCGGUACAUUUGACAUUUUCGAUACAAGAAGAUAUAGUGGUUUUCAUAUCACCAGGGGACAAUACCAUGCAGAACGCAUUGAAGUUGUAAGUAUUUGUUUGUUUUCUAACCCUUAUUGUUUCUGUUUCUACCCUUUUUUCACUCAUACGCAUCUCAUGCAAGCGAGGAGACUGGUUGCUUUGAUGAAGGAGGUGUACGGGGAAGAAGAGUACAACAAGAAGAAUCUGUUUGACUGGGUGGCACUCGCAGAAAAGUGCAACUACGUGCAGACACCCGAGCAGGGAGCAAACGAGUGUGCUUUCUAUAGCUGGCCACCAUAUUUGAUGGAGAGAAGUUUGAUGAGAAGAUAAAGUCAAAAGAUGUUAGUAAUUUUUGUCAUCUUUUAUCUUAUCACCAAGUUAUUUCUAAGAUGUUUUUACUCGUACCCUUAACUCUGUUUUUAUUCUGAGGUUUUUGUUCCCUUCUUUUUUCUUGGCAUAUGUUAGCGACGUGUGGAGGACUGGAAGUCAGAGUACAUGUACCAGGUGAUGUACCACCCGAGGAACGAACCGUCUCCUGAUGACUGGCCAAGCACACUCAGAGAUCUUGUGCUGCUGCUAGAUAUUGCGUCGCAGUCUACCGCUGAUGCCACUUGAGAUUCUUCUCAAGCGCGUGGUCUUCAAAACUAGGCAAUUUGAUUUUUGUCGGCGCCUUUGUGUAUGCAAUGUAUCGACCCAUGUGUUGUGAGGUGACACUUGUGUUUUCUGUGCUCUUACGUUCCUAUUGUGAAUUAUCCCAACCACGCUGCGAGUUUAAGUUUUUGUACCUGGUGACUUUAUGUCUUGUGUCUUGUAUAUUGUCAGCAAAACUAAUGUGUUUUUGUGUGUCUUGUAUAUCUGGACUUCUGUGUUUAUAAAAUAGAACUUCCAAGGCAGUAAACAGUGAACUUCCAUAUGCAUCCCUGUUUUGUUGCUACAUUUUUGCCUCAAGGUCAUCCGUGUAUCUGGACUUCUGCGUUCAUAAAAGAGAACUUCCACGGUAGUAAACAGUGAACUUUUAUAUGCAUCCCUGUUUCCUUUCGCGUGUGUUACGUGUAUGACAACUUCUUCAGCAUGUACAUAUGAACUUCCAGUUUCUGCUUCAUUCAAUGUAACUUUCUCUUUUUCUUGUGCUUCGAUGGACUCCUGAGUUAGAAGACACAGAACAAGAGUGAACUUCAAUUUUUGAUUUGUUUUUUAUUUAUGCCUUGUUUCUCCAUUUAUUUUCUUGUUUUUGGGCACCUGCGUAUUGUGGACUUCUUUCUAUUGUAAGAUAGAACUUUUGAGCGGUAAAGAGUGAACUUUCAUAAUAAGUCAUGACUGAACUCCCAUAGUUAACACAGUGAAGUCUACACAUUAAUCACAGUAACAAGCUAAACUUCUGUAUAUUAUAGGACAGAACUUCCGAGCAGUAAAGAGCGAACUUCCCUAACAAGUUAUGACUGAACUCCUGUAGUUAACACAGUGAAGUCUACACAUUAAUCACAGUAAUAAGCUAAACUUCUAUCUAUUAUAAGAAAGAACUUCAGAACAGUAAAGAGUGAACUUCCCUAAAAAGUUAUGACUGAAAUCCCAUAGUUAACACAGUGAAGUCUGCACAUUAAUCACAGUAACAAGCUAAACUCAGACGAUUUUAAGUGAACUACCCUAAUAGUUCUGAAUGUAUUUUUUUGGAACGCGAACUACUGCAGCCUUGCACUA
rnacentral:lncRNA from 1 species